rnacentral:snRNA from 1 species
GUGCUCGCUUAGGCAGCACAUAUUAGCAUGGCCCGUGCUCAAGGACGACACGCAAACUCAUGAAGUGUUCCAUAUUUUU